UACGUAGGGUGCAAGCGUUGUCCGGAAUUAUUGGGCGUAAAGAGCUCGUAGGCGGUCUGUCGCGCGGCUGUGAAAACCCGGAGCUCAACUCCGGGCCUGCAGUCGAUACGGGCAAACUGGAGUACUGCAGGGGAGACUGGAAUUCCUGGUGUAGCGGUGAAAUGCGCAGAUAUCAGGAGGAACACCGGUGGCGAAGGCGGGUCUCUGGGCAGUAACUGACGCUGAGGAGCGAAAAGCGUGGGGGAGCGAACAGG
rnacentral:rRNA from 1 species